UAUCCCUUUUUCAACCUUAAUUGAUUAAUGGACCAGUUAAAAGCACUUUUCAGGUUAAUCACUAAAAAAAGGGUAAUGAAUAGUCCAAAAAGAGCAUAUGUGUAAUGUAUGUACAAACAAAUAGUAGUAGUGGUUGAUGCCGCUUAUAUUUCUUUACAAAAAUGUGUGUCUCUCUCUUCAGAUUUAAAACUUCCGGCUUAAGCCACUCUCUCUCACACUUUCCUAAAUUUUCUCAUUAAUCUCUUAAAUUUUAAUCUAAUUGAUUAUUAAACCCGUAUUAAUAUUAAUUUCACCCGCUUUCCAAAUUCAGGCGUUUUAAUCAGCUAUGGGCAAGUGAAGCACAGUAAUUCUACAAUUGAUUGGUUGAUGAUCGGGAGGAGAACUACCGAAGGAAAAGGGAAGUUCGUCCGAUUGUUUUGCUGUUAAUAUUUUUCAUUUUUCAAGCGGAGAGGUUAUAGUCCUGCUCGGGAUUGGUAUUUUCUGUGUGCAUAUACUGUAGAGGGAUUGUCUAGUUGGAGACUUAUAUAUUCUUGUUAAAUUUUUUGUUU